rnacentral:lncRNA from 1 species
UUUCCAGGAAGGCCUAGCUCAGCUCACCUCUGGAAAGGUCUCCAAGCUGUGUGAUCUGGGGAAUCGUGGAGGGGUUUUGAGCUCAGGUGUCUUCUGCCAGCUGGACUCUGAGACCCUGGCCUGCUGGGGCGAGGAUGAGGCUCUGAUGUGGUCUGGUCAACUCUGGGUUGGCCAUCUGCACCACAGGGCUCUAACAAGGGCCUGCUAUAGGCCAUGAGAACCACUGUGUCAAGGAGCCCAUCUCCAUUUUAGAAAGACAGAGAUGCGUUCUGGGCCGUUGCCCGGGAAAGAAUGUCUACCAGGACAGUUCUGAGAAGGCUCAGCAUCAUAUCUAAACACAGGAAAGGAAUUCCCUGUUGGAAAAUUCAGGAUGACAACUGUGGGUAGCAAGCCAAGGCAAAGGGCAGAACGUGGAGCAGCAUUUGAGGCUCCAGCCAAUUCCAGCCUGUCUGCAGGCACUGCCUGCCUCCACGGCUGUCAGGUGUCGCCCCCAGGAGCUACGUAGGGCGAAGCUAGGCAGGCUUUCAGUGCCAGCUGUGGUUUCCCCAACAGCUCACAGGCCAGAGGCCCCGCCCAGGCCACCUCCUCCAGUCCCCCUGCCGCGGGGUGGUCUUCGGUGGUCUCACUCUCCCUCCCACUGCAUUUCCAUCUCUGCUGUAAUAUACCACCUCAGCCCUUCCUUUUUGAUUCCCAAGAGCAAAUUUUGGAAAUAAAGCAACCUGAAAACAU